AAGACCCCUUGAAGACGACGAGGUAGAUAGGGAUGGGGUGUAAGCACAGCAAUGUGUUGAGCUGACAUCCACUAAUCGGUCGAGGGCUUAACCAG
rnacentral:rRNA from 1 species